CCUAAACCAGCUGUAUCUCCAGGACAGUCAUCAGGCAAAGAGCAGCCAGUGCCGGGAGAUCUCUGUGCAAGGCAAGUCAUAUGAGCUGCUGUGCUGUGGUCACCUUCCCCACAAAGAGGAGAAAACUUGAGGAAAAAGUUAUGAAUCAUCUUCUCCAGGACCCUUGAUAAAUCCUUGCACUGAGGAUUGACUCUAAUAUGUAGGGGACAUGGAAGAGAAGGAACAUUUCCAGAGAAGGAAAAAGGCAUCUGCUUUUUUGGAACCCUCCACACAAGUACCAGUCCGUGAGUGUUCAGGCUAAGAUCUAAUUAUUGCUUGAGAUACAGCAUUAAGGGGACAUUCCCAGCACGCUAACAUGCAGCAGAGAUGGUGAUACAAGCUG